AGCUUUGACUAAUCUAUUUAAUAAAUAUCUUGAUAUGUAUAAUUUGGAAAAAGAUAUUAGCAUUGACCGAUUUAUAUGUGUUUUGUGUGGUCAAAGUGAACGGUUUUAUGUUAAUCCAUUUCAUUCACAAUUCUAGAAAGAAAGUUAUCCAAGAAUUGUUAAAAGAAAAAUGUUCCAAAUAAAACUCAUCCAAAAUUUUGUUAAAAUAUGUUAGACUCUCUUUAAAUGUUUAUAACAAAUAUGUUAUAACACCCCGAUUUUAAGAAUAUGUUGGUGCAUGUAGAGAGGUUUAAAAGAAUUGAUUUGGGCACCUAUAUCAUCAAAGUGCACUAAUCUUUUUGGUCAAACGUCCUAACAAAACUCCACAAUUAAGAGUGUCUAGGCUGGAGUAGUUUCAGGAUGGGUGACCUUCCGAGAAGUGAUCGUCGGAACCAUGCGAGUGAGGAUAAAGCAUGGGGAAAGAUCAUGUGGUGAUUUGUAGGGUCGGUAACAAAUCUUUAAAGCUUCCUAGACGUGGUGCACCGACUGUCGGACAAAGGUGGACCCGAGAGAGGACGUGGGGCCCACUACUAAAGGCGGUCACGGCAUUACAAGUGAUAUCAGAGCCGAACCCAGAUGAGUGUAGAGUCAAGAAGGCUCGCACCAACGGGAGUUACGAUCUUGGUGCGCAACGAGGACGUUGCGAUCUGCUAGUGGGGUGAAUUGUAACACCCUGGUUUCAAGAAUAUUUUGGCGCACAGACCGUCGGACUGGGGUGGGCCCAUGUGCCCGAGAGAUGUCGUGGAACCCACUGGUAAAAGCGGUCGGGGCGUUACACAUGUUAAAAAUACAAAUUAAAAAUCAAAAGUAUCCAA
rnacentral:sRNA from 1 species